AAAAAAUUAGUUAAAAAAUAACAUUAGUUUGUCAAGCUAAAAUUAUUAGAUUUCUAAUAUUUUUUG
rnacentral:tRNA from 1 species